CAGCAGCCGCGGGAAUACGUAGGUGGCAAGCGUUGUCCGGAAUUAUUGGGCGUAAAGGGCUCGCAGGCGGUUUCUUAAGUCUGAUGUGAAAGCCCCCGGCUCAACCGGGGAGGGUCAUUGGAAACUGGGAAACUUGAGUGCAGAAGAGGAGAGUGGAAUUCCACGUGUGGCGGUGAAAUGCGUAGAGAUGUGGAGGAACACCAGUGGCGAAGGCGACUCUCUGGUCUGUAACUGACGCUGAGGAGCGAAAGCGUGGGGAGCGAACAGGAUUAGAUACCCCGGUAGUCCCUGUCUCUUAUAC
rnacentral:rRNA from 1 species